AACGAACGCUGGCGGCAGGCUUAACACAUGCAAGUCGAGCGCGCCCUUCGGGGUGAGCGGCGGACGGGUGAGUAACGCGUGGGAACAUGCCCUUCACUGCGGAAUAGCCUCUGGAAACGGAGAGUAAUACCGCAUACGCCCUACGGGGGAAAGAUUUAUCGGUGAAGGAUUGGCCCGCGUUGGAUUAGGUAGUUGGUGGGGUAACGGCCUACCAAGCCGACGAUCCAUAGCUGGUUUGAGAGGAUGAUCAGCCACACUGGGACUGAGACACGGCCCAGACUUCUACGGAAGGCAGCAGUGGGGAAUCUUAGACAAUGGGGGAAACCCUGAUCUAGCCAUGCCGCGUGAGUGAUGAAGGCCUUAGGGUCGUAAAGCUCUUUCGCUGGGGAAGAUAAUGACGGUACCCAGUAAAGAAACCCCGGCUAACUCCG
rnacentral:rRNA from 1 species